UAAUACGGAGGGUGCAAGCGUUAAUCGGAAUUACUGGGCGUAAAGCGCACGCAGGCGGUUUGUUAAGUCAGAUGUGAAACUCCCCGGGCUCAACCUGGGAACUGCAUUUGAAACUGGCAAGCUAGAGUCUCGUAGGAGGGGGGUAGAAUUCCAGGUGUAGCGGUGAAAUGCGUAGAGAUCUGGAGGAAUACCGGUGGCGAAGGCGGCCCCCUGGACGAAGACUGACGCUCAGGUGCGAAAGCGUGGGGAGCAAACAGGAUUAGAUACCCUGGUAGUCCACGCUGUAAACGAUGUCGAUUUGGAGGUUGUGCCCUUGAGGCGUGGCUUCCGGAGCUAACGCGUUAAAUCGACCGCCUGGGGAGUACGGCCGCAAGGUU
rnacentral:rRNA from 1 species